UUAACUUUGAUACUUUUUUGGUACAUUCCAGAAAACCAGGACCCCCUCCAUGAUGCAGGCUAUGGGGCCACAUAAAACUUUGUCCAGGGGUUACUACAUAACAUAGCACGACAACUGUAAACUAUGUACUACUGUACUAAAGAACCCCCUGAAUGAUGUAGGCAAUGGGGCCACAUAAGACUUUGUCCAUCCAGGGUUACAUUGAGCGACAACUUUAAACUAAAGAACCCCCUGAAUGAUGUAGGCUAUGGGGCCACAUAAGACUUUGUGCAUCCAGGGUUACAUAGCAGGACAACUUUAAACUAAAAAGCUACCAGACUGGGAUUUUAGUGUACUCCAGGAUCUAACAAAGUGUGCAAUGCAUGUGUAUACGUAUAGUGACAGUGUUUAG